GACGAACGCUGGCGGCGUGCUUAACACAUGCAAGUCGAACGGAAAGGCCCUGCUUUUGUGGGGUGCUCGAGUGGCGAACGGGCGAGUAACACGUGAGUAACCUGCCCUUGACUUUGGGAUAACUUCAGGAAACUGGGGCUAAUACCGGAUAGGAGCUCCUGCUGCAUGGUGGGGGUUGGAAAGUUUUGGCGGUUGGGGAUGGACUCGCGGCUUAUCAGCUUGUUGGUGGGGUAGUGGCUUACCAAGGCUUUGACGGGUAGCCGGCCUGAGAGGGUGACCGGCCACAUUGGGACUGAGAUACGGCCCAGACUCCUACGGGAGGCAGCAGUGGGGAAUAUUGCACAAUGGGCGGAAGCCUGAUGCAGCAACGCCGCGUGCGGGAUGACGGCCUUCGGGUUGUAAACCGCUUUCGCCUGUGACGAAGCGUGAGUGACGGUAAUGGGUAAAGAAGCACCGGCUAACUACGUG
rnacentral:rRNA from 1 species